GCAUUUGAACUGCCUGUUUUGGCCACACGGAUCCUGGCAAGGCGGGCCUUCUGUGAUUGGCAGAGAUAACAAAAGAAUGAGGCAGACCAUGAUACAAAAAGACAGCAAGGCUGGUGAAGCUGUGAGGCUGGCUUCCCAGGUGACACCUGAUGAAGGGGAUGAGGCUGUUUCUCUCCAACCUCAUGCAUCUCCAGUUACAGACCCAGGGACUGGGUCUGAGACGUUGUGUACCCACUUUGUAUAGCUUGGUUGCGUCAGAAUUCCCAGGAGUCUCCACUCAUCUCUCCAGCCCGGGUAUAAUCCUGGCAGGAGAAAUAUCACUCAUCCAAGCUCUCUUCUCCCAAAGGUUUCAUGACCUUUAUCUACUCAGUAUUGCAAAAUGCCAUGUGCUAUUCAGUUGUGCUACUCAGUUUUCUUAUCUCUAACUAAAUUGCAAACUCCUUAGAGGAGUGUAUGUGACAGCUGCCCUGAUUCUCCUCUAGGGCCUUAAAAAUGCAAGUGAACAAGAGUUGGCUGAGUUGAUGAGUUGUUCUAGAAACAAGGUUGAGGGCUAGCUGGAAAAAGAGGCUUCUUUCUGAGCACCAAAGCCUUCAGACAUUUUUCCUCAUUGCAUGGGCAAAUGACCGUAUUUUACCCUCUCCUGCCAUUUUCAGCAGUGUGUAUUGAACAUAAUCUAAAACUUUCCCCAGGACUGAUGGUUAGUCUCCUGAUCACCAACUGCAGUUGACUUCAGUGCCUUUGCCCUAUGAUAUAUUGGAAAUUCCUAAAGCCUGUUGUGCCAUUUGUCCCUGAACUCAACGGCCUCAGGAUGCUCUCCUUUCACAGUAUUUAUUUUUCCUUUCAACAAAUUUAUUUUUGCCACUGGAUUUUGUAUAGGCUUUUAUAGGAUAUUAAAAAGAGAUUAUGUUUCCUAGUAAGCUCUUGGCUGGGAGAGGGAGGAGUGCG
rnacentral:lncRNA from 1 species